GAUGAACGCUGGCGGCGUGCCUAAUACAUGCAAGUAGAACGCUGAAGGAGGAGCUUGCUCUUCUGGAUGAGUUGCGAACGGGUGAGUAACGCGUAGGUAACCUGCCUGGUAGCGGGGGAUAACUAUUGGAAACGAUAGCUAAUACCGCAUGACAACAGUUAUUGCAUGAUAACUGUUUAAAAGGGGCAACUGCUCCACUACCAGAUGGACCUGCGUUGUAUUAGCUAGUUGGUGAGGUAACGGCUCACCAAGGCGACGAUACAUAGCCGACCUGAGAGGGUGAUCGGCCACACUGGGACUGGGACACGGCCCAGACUCCUACGGGAGGCAGCAGUAGGGAAUCUUCGGCAAUGGACGGAAGUCUGACCGAGCAACGCCGCGUGAGUGAAGAAGGUUUUCGGAUCGUAAAGCUCUGUUGUAAGAGAAGAACGAGUGUGAGAGUGGAAAGUUCACACUGUGACGGUAUCUUACCAGAAAGGGACGGCUAACUACGUG
rnacentral:rRNA from 1 species